CAGAGUAUUAUAAAUCACGUGCCUAAAACUGUCCACAUAGACCAUGCACCCUGCCUGACCCCGCCCCACCUCGCCACUAUCCGCGUGUGCUGCGGGCCCACCCCCCCUGUCUUCCCUGGAAUGUGUUCAGGACGAACGGGUCAGCUGGUCCAGGUGACUCCUUGUCUAACCCUGACUGACAUAUAUUUGAUUGCUGUGGUUUGCUUCUUUUCUUUCUCCUUUUUGCUACUCUUGCUGGAGGCAGUGGGUUCCAGACGCCAGCUGCAGACGCCCCCUGCCUAUGGCACCACCAGUCACCAAGGGUGGUUCUAAGUUGCCGGGUCCCCUCAGGUCCUGCUCUUACGGUCUUCCUGAUUCUCAGCAGCUGUCCUGCGGGUCUUCUGUCUCAUCUCAUCUGAACCCCUUGGAGGUGGAGCGCCACCCCUCCUUCCACCCCUGUUGCACUAAACUGAGCUGGUGGAUGGUGCACCUCCUGGGGCUCCUCCCUUGCUCUGGGCAGGUGCUGAGAGCGAGGGACGGGGUUGCCACAUGUACACAGGCCCCCACUGAUGCGUGUGACGUGCUUUACAGCACAGAAUAACUUCCCAUCUGAUGCGGGGGCUUCCAUUCUCCUCCUCUGCUGUCUCCCUCCCCACGUGUGUAAAACGUCGCCACAGUUUACUUCAUCUUGAUGCUUCUCUUCUUUCUGAACUGAGAGAUGAUCUCAGCUGUCUGCAGCAGAUCUGGAAGCAGAUCUGGAAGUCUGGAAAAGAGUUUGAUUCUUGAAACAUCCGUCACCUUGAGAAAUGAUCUGGAUAGAUAGAAGGGAUAACUCUGCCGGUAUCUUUGAUCGCUUGUUGCCAGAAAGCAUUUCACCAUCCAACUUGGAGUAGUUUCCUAUGACAGCAGUUUCAUACAUCCAUCAGAAAUUAUGGCCCAGCUGUAUCCAUUCUGUAUCUCAUUCGGUGUGACAAAAACAGGCUCUGAGCCACCUCUGGUCCCUGGCUUCAUAGGUCACUCUUGGGUAGAUCAGCUAGGCAAGAACUAGGCAAGAAGAAACCAUGCCCCUCGUGGGGGAGCUGACGGCCCUCUUGCUCUCUCAUCUCCUGAUGUCUAGCCCAUCCAGAUCGGCAGCAGGUAUGGUUUCGGGCCAAGGCCAAGGCCCGUGCCCUUGCUGAAGACCACAGUAGCCAGGGGACUCAUCAGGCCUUGUCCGUCCACUCAAGUCUCAGAAGUGCCGACUCAGUAUCUCCGCAGCAGUCCAGAGGAGCCGGGAGGCCAGUUCUCUGGGCUGGCGGCCCUGCAGCGCAGGGAAUCAGAAAUCCGAGCAGAACGCGCAGGACGAACCUGACUGCUCCCCCUCACGGAGCUUCUCACACAAGGCGGCUGUAGAGUGAGGUCUUGCCCUGCUCAUCCCUGGCCUUCCUCCGCUGUUGCUGCUGUCCCAAGAGAAGUCUGCUAGCAAGAUGCUCCGAGACAGGUCUGGGUUCACUCCAGCAAGAAAGCCCUCCUCCUUAGCAUUCCCUGACACUCUGGUACCACCCACAGGCCCAGUUCUGUAGACCCCAUCAGCUUGUUCUGAGCCAGUGCAUCCUUAAGAGGCAAGGGGAAUUCUAGGAUUGAGUGAGCAGGUGUUGCCUGGUGUUCCCUGCGGCCCUUGACUCGCAUCCUGCACGCUCUCUUCUCAGGGAUGCUGGAGAGGGAGGGAGACUCUGCUUUCCUAGAAGAUGUGACAGGAAAUGGCCAUCACAUUCCAUCUCUUCCCAUUGCCUGAGGAGAAGACUGACUCCUGUGUGCACCACCUCCAGGCUUGUGGGACCGCUUCUGUCCCAAGGAUCCCCGCUGGUGUGAGUCACCCGGGGAGGGGUCGGUUGCUUAGUGGGACCUCCUUUCUCAGCUGGUCUUAAGUUCCUCUGAGGAAAAAAACCUCUGCUGUUCCCAUUUCUUUCCCUCCCCUACCAAAAAGUAAGCAUUCUCCACAUAUUGCUUAUUCCACGCAAGCACGUACGGGGAAGGAACCUGCAGUAGGGACCCUUAGAAGCCAUCCAACAUAGCCUGACUCGUUCAAACUAAAUUUGGGCCAUAGAAUAAAAAGAAUAGGGCUUUUUGAAUCAUGUGCAUUUUGGUGUGUGUACUUGUAUUUCCAAUUCUUAGGAAUUUGAAAAAUAUCAGAACUCCUUUUAUUUACUCUCACCAUUUGGACAGCGCCUAAGUAGCUUUAUAAAAUGCAGCAUUCCAGUGCCCCGAGGUUCCCCGUGUCUUUGGGGACAUGCCACUCCUGAAUCACUGCUCCUCCACUGGUCUUCAGCUCCCAAAGGACCAGGGGCUGGAGCUGAAGUUCUGGUGGAUGGGUUUCUGUCUCAUCUCUGCUUGGCCAUCUCUCCAGCUAAACUCCCCUUGGUCCUCUCCCCGAGGACUAGCGUCACAUGUCAGGCAGGGCAGUCGAGUUCAAGGCCCAAUCCUCCUUCGUGCCCAGACCUCAGACUAAAGUCAUUAGCAAACCCAGACUGACUUCAGAGUGAUGGGCCCCUCCACGCCAUCUAGUGAGAUCACCGAGGAGACCCAGGGGCUAUUGGUCACCUUGAGCACAGAGGUGGGACUGUCUGCUUGGGCUGGUGGUGACAGGAUCCUGGCGGUGGUCUCCCCAUCCUCCUUCCCAAGACCUGCCACAGCACACAUGUAGGGGUAUGGGCAGCCAUGUGGCGGAGGAGUCUCCCUGGGCAAGGAGGGAAUUCAGACAGUGCCUCGAUAUUCUGUUUUGCCUUCCCCCCAACACAGAUUUGAUACCUGGACCCCAGAGCCCAGCAGGCCCUGUGCCGCACACGCUUGAUGGUUUGAGCAGGUUCCCUGGCCAGAACAAGUGACUGACAGGAGGGCUGGCAGCCCGAGGCUUACUGAGCGUCCUCUCCCCACGCAGUGUUUCCGGGUUAAUCCAGGCUGGAAGAGAGACUGUCCAGCAAAUGCUGUGUGAGAUCUUAGGCCUUUAACUGGGUUUUUUUCCUUGUUUGUUUUUUUAAGAAGGAAAGUAAAAUUAACAAGCCUCUUUUGUAAAUGGUUUUUCUUUCUAUGUAUAAAAUCCCGGCAGUUCCUUGUUUUUACAUGUUCAUGCUGUGUAAUUUUGAGAUGUUACCAAGAUUCUGAACAUAAUGUGCAUUUUUUUUUUCUGUACAGAUGAAAUGGGAGAAUUUAAUAAAGAGUUUGCA
ensembl:lncRNA